rnacentral:rRNA from 1 species
UGAGGAAUUUUGCGCAAUGGGGGCAACCCUGACGCAGCAACGCCGCGUGAGUGAUGAAGGCUCUUGGGUCGUAAAGCUCUGUCAGUGGGGAAGAAGUUAUAUAGUAUUAAUAGUGCUAUGUAUUGACGGUACCCACAAAGGAAGCACCGGCUAACUCCGUGCCAGCAGCCGCGGUAACACGGGGGGUGCAAGCGUUAUUCGGAAUUAUUGGGCGUAAAGGGCGCGCAGGCGGCCAUUUAAGUCAGAUGUGAAAUCCCGGGGCUCAACUCCGGACGUGCAUUUGAAACUAGGUGGCUUGAGUAUGGGAGAGGGAAGUGGAAUUCCUGGUGUAGAGGUGAAAUUCGUAGAUAUCAGGAGGAACAUCUGUGGCGAAGGCGACUUCCUGGACCAAUACUGACGCUGAGGCGCGAAGGCGUGGGGAGCAAACA